UAUCUCAAUUAAGCAGCGACUACCAGGCGAGAGCUCUAUAAGAGGAGACAACUGCGUGACGGCGACACUGUUCUAUAGGGUGGUUACAAACAGAAGCAAACAUGAAGCUCUUCCUCUGUGUCCUGAUUGUAGCGUCCAUCUUUGUGACUGCGAAUUGUGAGAUGUGCAUAUGUACCCUGGAAUAUGCCCCUGUGUGUGGCGUGCAAGUCUACCCAAACGCAUGUGACAGAGGGUGUAAUAAUGGGAUUCCUGCUGAAGGAUAUAAUUACAACCGAGCCACCAACACGUGCGACAAGGUCUAGGUCAAGGACGAUGACGACAAUUAAUACUAUCUUGACAUGAAGUCAUACUUGAGGCAUUUGCAAAAUAAAUUUAAAAAAAGACAUUUGUCUUCUGAAUAA